UAACAAGGUCACCUGCAGCCGCAGACAGAACAACUUCCAUUCUGAGAACUUUUGGUUGAGUGACUACUGAACUGAAGGGGAAUGCUGAUGUUGAACUAGAAGCUUGUUUUGGUUUUCACCUUGUAGAGUUCAGGUUUCAGAUUCUCCCAUCUGUGGUUGACUGAAGGUCGUUGCAUCGUGGUUGCCUGACUUUCUUUCGCAGAAGUGCUCUAGCUGCUGUGACCUGAUGGUUGUCCGUACAGGCAGUGGGCCAGUGGCCAAGUGGAGCUAGCAGGAUGCCACUAUGAGGCAAAGUGGCAAACAGAAUAGACUGGGUGAGUUGGGAUGAGUUGCUGAACCCAAAGAACAUGGGUGGGUGACCUGUGCUUCAAAGACCUUGAUAGAUUCAGCGUCAUGAUGGUAGCACCACAAGCUUGUAGAAUCGCUUUGUCGCCCUUGAGUUCUCAUGGACAGUUACUGCUGGAAUUCUAGUGUUCUGCAAGCUGAAGCAAAGUAAGGAAUUUCAUUGCCUGAAGAAGCAUCCUGCAUGGAAUCUGGUAGAUGCGCGACCACCGAAAGAACAAGCACGCACCGUCAUCCUCAGAAGAUCUUGAGAAGGCCGCGUAGAUGGAAAAGAAAGUUUCUCAGAUGUCGGCAAAAAAAAAAAAUCUUAAUCAGGGUGCUGGCCCAAGCAACACCAUGUCAUGUUACUAUCUGCAUCAUGUUUCAGUGGACCUAGCAGGAUGCCAUGAUGACGCAAAGUGGUAAACAGAAUAGACUAGGUGAGUUGCUGAACCCAAAAAACAUGGUGGGUGGCCUGGGAUUCAAAGACCUUGAAGAUUCAACAUAAUCAUGCUACCACAACAAGCUCGUAGAAUCGCUAGCUGCCCUCGAGUUCUCACAGCAAAUACUGCUGGAAUUCCGGUUUUCAGCAAGCUGAAGCAAGGCAAGGGAUUUCAUUGCCUGAAGGCGCAUCCUGCAUGGAAUUUGGUAGACCAGUCUGGCUCUGUUUGGUGAGCAACGACAGAGAGGUACUUGAAAUCACAAACUUCCUUUUUUUUAAAAUAAAAUCCUUCUACUCGAAAUCACUCUACAUAGCUUGCUUGUUUUGAAUAUGUAUGCACCAUCUCCUGAACAAGGUUGUAACAGCGCCAUGUAGAGUGUUUUCCUGGUAAUGUAGUAGCAAUGAUCAGAAC